CCCGGAUGAACAUCAGAAUGUUGCUGUGUUCUUCAUCAGAAUGUUUGAUAUUCAUGAUGUUCUUCAUCUGGGUUCAUCAAGGAUGAAUGUCAGAUGAGUUUCUGGGUCCAUUCCAUACGUGACAUGAGAUAUGUUCAAGUUUUAUCCUUCAAAAGUUACUUCUCCAUAUGCAUCAAAAGUUGCUUGAAAAAGUAGGAUAAAGUUGAAACAAAUCUGUCUUGGAUUUGGUGCAGGAGAGAGAGGAUAGUGGAUCUGCAAUCUUCAGGCCCAUGCUU
rnacentral:lncRNA from 1 species